rnacentral:lncRNA from 1 species
UCCAAACGAACCUUGAAAAAUCAAAAAAUCACACAACACUCCUAUUGUUCUAUGUGACACGAGAAAAAAAUUCGAAAGCAAUAAGAGGAAAUGGAUAUUGUUUCGUCCAUAAAGGUGGCAUGUUCCCUACCGAAAACCAUCAUGCUUGUUGUGUGAAGCUCUGGUUUGUGAGAAGUAUAUACCCAAACCUGCCCCAAAUGGGACAAAAUUUGUACCACGGCAUGUUGAUACCGCUCCAUGAUAGCAUGCAAAGUUUCAUGAAUUUUAGACUAGUUUUGGAUUUCCUAAAAUGUAAAAAUCAGGCAUCUCAAUGUUUUGCCGGCAAUCAACGUUACCCCGGUGUUUGAAAUUCAUUCCCAUUUCUUGCAUGGGACCUAAGCAUGCACCAAAGGACACAGAUUUGAUUUUUCAACCAAUUUAUAUGCACUGGAGCAUGUGCAUGUAGUUCACAUUUGAAUUAUGCACAUAAAAUGCAUUUUAAACUCAGUUAAUGCAUAAAAAUGUCCAAACGAACCCCGAAAAAUCACAAAAAUUCACAUAACACUCAUGUUGUUCUAUGUUGACCCGAGAAAAAAAAAUUGAAAGCAAUAAGAGGCAAUUGAUAUCGUUUCGUCCACAAAGGUGGGACGUUCCCUACCGAAAACCAUCAUGCUUGUUGUGAGAAGCUCCGGUUUGUGAGAAGUAUAUACCCAAACCUGCCCCAAAUGGGACAAAAUUUGUACCACGGCAUGUUGAUGCCGCUCCAUGAUAGCACGCCAAGUUUAAUGAAUUUCAGACGAGUUUUCUAUGUACUAGAAUUUAAAAACCAC